GCUACGGCAUCAUUAUGAUGGGUAGGGGAGCUUUCUAUGCGGCUUGAAGCAUGACCGUAAGGACAUGUGGACUGCAUAGAAGUGAGAAUGUUGGCAUGAGUAGCGAGAUGUGGGUGAGAAUCCCACAGGCCGUAAACCCAAGGUUUCCAGGGGAAGGUUCGUCCGCCCUGGGUUAGUCAGGACCUAAGCCGAGGCCGAAAGGCGUAGGUGAUGGACAACAGGUUGAUAUUCCUGUACCACCAAUAACCGUUUGAGAAAUGGGAUGACACAGUAGGAUAAGCUAACCGCACUGUUGGUUAUGUGCGGGCAAGUAUUGAGGCAGUUCCGAUAGGCAAAUCCGUCGGAAUAAUGCUGGGGUACGAUGCGGAGCGAAAUUUAGUAGCGAAGUAGCUGAUUUCACACUGUCGAGAAAAGUCUCUAUCGAGGUUAAAGGUGCCUGUACCGCAAACCGACACAGGUGGGUGAGGAGAGUAUCCUAAGGCCAGCGAGAGAACUGUUGUUAAGGAACUCGGCAAAAUGACCCCGUAACUUAGGGAGAAGGGGUGCCUUCGAAAGAAGGCCGCAGAGAAUAGGCCCAAGCGACUGUUUACCAAAAACAUAGGUUUCUGCUAAGUCGCAAGACGAUGUAUAGGAGCUGACGCCUGCCCGGUGCUGGAAGGUUAAGGGGAUCUGUUAGAGCAAUCGAAGCAGUGAACUUAAGCCCCAGUAAACGGCGGCCGUAACUAUAACGGUCCUAAGGUAGCGAAAUUCCUUGUCGGGUAAGUUCCGACCCGCACGAAAGGCGUAACGAUUUGGGCACUGUCUCAACAACAGACUCGGUGAAAUUGUAAUACCGGUGAAGAUGCCGGUUACCUGCGACAGGACGGAAAGACCCCAUGGAGCUUUACUGUAGCUUGACAUUGAGUCUCGGUGCUACAUGUACAGGAUAGGUGGGAGACUAUGAAGCAUGGACGUCAGUCUGUGUGGAGUCAUCCUUGGGAUACCACCCUUGUAGUACUGGGAUUCUAACCAGAGGCCAUGAAUCUGGUCUUGGGACACUGUCAGGUGGACAGUUUGACUGGGGCGGUCGCCUCCCAAAAAGUAACGGAGGCGCUCAAAGGUUCUCUCAGUACGGUCGGAAAUCGUACGAAGAGUGUAAAGGCAAAAGAGAGCUUGAUUGCAAGACAUACAGGUCGAGCAAGGACGAAAGUCGGACUUAGUGAUCCGGUGGUUCCGCAUGGAAGGGCCAUCGCUCAACGGAUAAAAGCUACCCUGGGGAUAACAGGCUGAUCUCCCCCAAGAGUCCACAUCGACGGGGAGGUUUGGCACCUCGAUGUCGGCUCAUCACAUCCUGGGGCUGUAGUAGGUCCCAAGGGUUGGGCUGUUCGCCCAUUAAAGUGGUACGCGAGCUGGGUUCAGAACGUCGUGAGACAGUUCGGUCCCUAUCCGUCGCAGGCGUAGGAAAUUUGAGGAGACCUGUCCUUAGUACGAGAGGACCGGGAUGGACGUACCGCUGGUGUACCAGUUGUUCUGCCAAGGGCAUGGCUGGGUAGCUAAGUACGGAAAGGAUAAGCGCUGAAAGCAUCUAAGCGCGAAGCCCACUUCAAGAUAAGAUUUCCCACCGCAAGGUUAAGAUCCCAGGAAGACUACCUGGUUGA
rnacentral:rRNA from 1 species